rnacentral:lncRNA from 1 species
GGGCAGACACACUGAAGUCGCUAGACAUUUGAGGAACACAUCCGGGGAAGAAGACACAGGUGGCUGGUCAUGGAGAGCCCGCUGGGGGAAGAGCACACAGACAGGCACCGGCAGGCCAUUGACCAGCGGGACAAGGUGGGCUCAAUGUCAUCACAAGGGUGCUUAAGAGGGAAAGAGGAAGCCAUGAGGGUCAGAGUCAAAGGAAGACUUGAAGAUACUACACUGCGGACUUUAAAGAUGAAGGAAGGGGCGAAAACCAAGAAUGUGGGAAGCCUCUAGAAGCUAGAGAAGGCAAGGAAACAAAUUUUCCACUAGAGCCUCCAGAAGGAACACAGCCCUGCUGACCCACUGUAAUGUCUGACCUCUAGAUGUGUAAGGGUAGUAAGACUGAAAGUCUCAGAAAGGCACUGUUAAAUUCUUAUUCCUCAACUAUGCAACUCAAAACUGGGGUCCUCAGCAGUGAGCGAGGGGUGAGAGAAGACACUGUAUAAACAUGGCACAUCCUCCUGGAAAGUCAACUUUACUCAAAGGCUGCAGGCCGUAUUAUGCUAAAUCAAGGAUACGGGGAGAUAAUUAACAUAGCAACUCUGGCAAUUUUAAUAGGUUCUUACACACAGUGACAGCUAGCAGAGUCUAAAAUGCUGACAUUAUGACUUAGAGAUGUGAUAAAGAGAAACAUCUAUUGCAUUUUCUGUAAGUAAAUGUGGUGCCGGCAUUGAGAGAACAUACGUAAUCAGAUACCUGUUCUCCCUGAGUUUCUUAAUUUAAGCCUCGCGAUUCCUAAUUAGCAGUUAGAUUGCAUCCAUUGUUAUUUUGUCUUUGGUUAUCAAUGAUGAUCAACCUUUGCUAAACAAAGAUAUGUCAUCAUGCUGGGGACACUCAUGGAUUUUUUUUUAAAGGUUUUAACAUUUGAUAAUAGGUUUUCCAAUAGCUUGAAGGGUAGCUUUUAACAUUUCUUUUCCAGCUGAAGUAUUUCCUGAGUUCUGUCCAAGCCCUCUGUAGUUAAAGAAAAGGCUUUUUGACACUGAAUAGACAAUGUUGUGGCUUUUUUUUUCCUUCUUCAGACAAAUGUAUAGGCAUUUAGACCGCCACGUUGUACUCUCGUAAUUGAGAUACCUUGCAGAAAUGGCAAUUAAGGGUGACUCGUGUCAAAAAUAUUCAGGACAAAUUACAUUUUACUGAUUUUUAAAAACUUUCAAAGGUACUCUCUCCUCUUUCUUUCUCCUUUCUCUCUUCCUGCCUCCCUCCCACCCGCUCCUCGUUUUUUCUUUUAAAUAUUAAGUAAACUAUUUGCAUUUUUACGUCUCAUCAAAGUUGUUCCAGGUUUUUUCUGGGUUUACUGAAACUCCAAAUCGACUACUCAGAUCAAAACAAUUAGUGAAGUCUAAGGUAUUCUUAAUUCCUGAAAUGAAAACAGAAUGGACGUUCGGGACGUUCUGUUUUGCUCUGGCUACCCGCUUGGCUUCUCGCUCAGAAUAUUCUUGCUCUCAAGUUAGUUCCAGUUCUGUUUAUUUUGUCCUGAGCUCAGUGAACUUUCCAAAGCCCUACUCUUCAAACAACACUUUUUUUCCCCCGCCCCGUGAGCUGGAGUUUAUUUUGUGCUCACCCUUCAUUCUGUGAGUUGUGAAUAAUUUUAACACAAAGAAAAAAAAAUCUCCUCCUGACCACGGAGAGAAGAGGGGAUUUUAGAAUAAAGAUAAAAAUUGCUGUUUUAGCCCCCAAAGCAAAGGACUUGGGAAAGAAGAGAAAAGGGGGGAAAAUAGAACAGCAAAGGAAAAAAAAAAAAAAAAAAAACAGAAAAAAAUUUUUUAUAAGGGUGUCAGUACAAAACAGGUGUUUGAUGAAGCUCAAGCAAAACAAAUGACAAAGUUAGCAUUGAAAGGCCAAAUACGUGAUACACAUUUAAACUACUUAGGUAAAUUUAUUUAUGAAAUAAAUAUGCAGUUUUUCAAAUUUGAACAUGGAGCAAAUGUUUACAGAUUGAAACUUAUCAUUUCUUGAUUACCAGUAUGAAGUAGGGCAAUAGUCCUAUUGAAAGCCAUUCUUAAUUGGGCUCAUUGUAAAUGUUUGGUUAAAAGAAAAGAUUAAAGUGAGCUUUGGCCUCUGUGGAAUGCUGAGGCUGGUGAAAUUUCUGGUUCUAGCAUUAUCCUCAAAUUGUCUCACAGAGAAUUAUAUUUUACAAAGUUAGAAGGCGGAAGAACCCUACUCUUUGUUUUAGGUUUGCCUAGCAUCCAGUCAGAGAUGGGUAAAUAAGGACAGAACCAUGGGACUCCAGUGGCCUUACUUAGGAGGCCCAUACUAAUGGCAACGGCAAGACAGUGCUACAUAGACAUAAAUAAUCUGUGAUUGCAGAUGUGCAGGUACAGUAUAAAAAAAUUAUUCUAUCCUUAUAGUCUUAGGUGUUGGCACAUUUCUUUUGAGCCCAUGUA